GCAAGUGCCAAAUGGAGCAGGAAAGAGACCUCAGCCUGGGUAUAGUUGGGCACCAGCAUUUAACAGGCCCAGAUGGAGUACAAAUGACUCAGGUAUGGAGCUGUGAUUUGCCUUUCUCAAAGGGCUAGGACUCUUUUGGAUUCAAGUUCUCGUGCACAGAAAAGCAAGUACAUUUAAUGAGCUGAGUUCACUCCUGGGUCACACCAGCGCAGAAGGACAAGACCUCCAUUGCUGGAAAGACCACCCAGAGAGGAGGAAGCUGCACUUGCCCAGGAAGGAGCAUACCAGAAAUCAUCUGGGAGAAAACACUG